rnacentral:rRNA from 1 species
CAAUAGCGUAUAUUUAAGUUGUUGCAGUUAUAAAGCUCGUAGUCGGAUUUUGGCUGAGAACGAUCGGUCCGCCGUUAGGUGUGCACUGAUUGGUCUCAGCUUCCUGGUGAGGAGGUGUGCUUCACGGCCACUUAGUCACCGUGGUUACUUUGAAAAAAUUAGAGUGUUCAAAGCGGGCUUACGCUUGAAUAUAUUAGCAUGGAAUAACACCAUAGGACUCCUGUCCUAUUUCGUUGGUCACGGGACGGGAGUAAUGAUUAAGAGGAACAGUUGGGGGCAUUCGUAUUUCAUUGUCAGAGGUGAAAUUCUUGGAUUUAUGAAAGACGAACUUCUGCGAAAGCAUUUGCCAAGGAUGUUUUCAUUGA